AUUGAUGAAGCUUUGUUGAAUUUCCUUUUUUUUUCGGGGAAACUAGAAAUUUGAAAAUGUGGGAGAGACAACAUAUACAAAUUUUGCUUCCACACUAUUGAGUAAGAGAUUAUGAUGCAAGCCACACCUUGUAGUAGUCGAAGGUUUGGAUGAACCAUAUAAAUUGAAUUUGCUUCGAACAGUCUUGAAUUUGCCUCGAAGGUUUGAGAAUUGUAGUUGCCUUUCAUUGAUGAAGCUUUUAUUGGCACCAUAAAUUGGUUUUGUUUCACACUGUCUUGAUCAAAAGUGUGUGAAGCUUUUGAGAAUUGUGGUUGC
rnacentral:lncRNA from 1 species